rnacentral:misc_RNA from 1 species
UACGUAGGUGGCAAGCGUUGUCCGGAAUUAUUGGGCGUAAAGCGCGCGCAGGCGGUCCUUUAAGUCUGAUGUGAAAGCCCACGGCUCAACCGUGGAGGGUCAUUGGAAACUGGGGGACUUGAGUACAGAAGAGGAGAGCGGAAUUCCACGUGUAGCGGUGAAAUGCGUAGAGAUCUGGAGGAAUACCGAUGGCGAAGGCAGCUUUCUGGUCUGUAACUGACGCUGAGGCGCGAAAGCGUGGGGAGCAAACAGG